rnacentral:rRNA from 1 species
UACGGAGGGGGCUAGCGUUGUUCGGAAUUACUGGGCGUAAAGCGCGCGUAGGCGGACCUGCAAGUCGGGGGUGAAAGCCCGAGGCUCAACCUCGGAACUGCCUUCGAUACUGUUAGUCUUGAGUCCGGGAGAGGUGAGUGGAAUUCCUAGUGUAGAGGUGAAAUUCGUAGAUAUUAGGAAGAACACCAGUGGCGAAGGCGGCUCACUGGCCCGGUACUGACGCUCAUGUGCGAAAGCGUGGGGAGCAAACAGG